AAGUUGCUAGGUGACCCAAUACGGGCAUCGGGCAAAACUCGCGUAGGAUUAGCGAGCUGGGUCGGCGACGCCAAUACAGCGGCCCAUGGCUUAUCCUUAGCCUGUCUUAACGGUACUAGGCCACGGUGGCACUGAAAAGGGGCCACGGUUCUUAUGAACCCAGCAGUGUUGAAUUUUGGACAAUCGCUUGAACGGCGGAUCCAGAUGCUGCUUACAAAUACAUUAUAUUUCAUGAUCGUUGCUUCUAUUUUGAUUUUGAUUGUUCCUGUUUUGUUGAGCGUCGCUAUGUUUACUCUAGCUGAGCGCACCGUAAUGGCUUCUAUGCAACGCCGUUUCGGCCCACAAGUUUCCGGUAUCAGUGGCUUGCUACAGCCGUUCUGGGAUGGUUUGAAAUUGGGUGUUAAAGAGCCUGUUCUACCUGAUUCCAGUUCUGCCGGAGCCUUCGCUGCUAGUCCAAUGAUUAGUUUUGUACUAAGCCAAGUCGCUUGGGUUGGCAUUUGCAUUUCCGAUGCUUCUUUCCAGGGCUUGGUAAUCAUGGCUAUUAGUAGCUUGGCUGUAUAUGGUGUCAUGUUGGCCGGUUGGGCUAGUAACUCUAAAUACGCUUUCUUGGGUUGUCUGCGUUCUGUAGCCCUUAUGGUAUCUUAUGAGUUGAGUUUGGGUGCUGCUUUGCUAUCUAUCGGUCUGUUCGUCACUGACGGCACUGGUAUGAAAUGUUUGAACUUUGCUGAGAUGCCUACCACCCCACAAUAUGCUAUGUUGCCGCUAUGCUUGAUUUUCUUGGUAUGUAUUCUAGCUGAGACCAAACGCGUACCAUUUGAUCUACCAGAGGCUGAGGCUGAGUUGGUUGCUGGUUAUAACGUAGAGUACAGUAGUUUGGGUUUUGCCCUAUUCUUUAUCGCCGAGUACGCUAACAUGGCUGUAAUGAGUGCUAUUGCUAGCAUUUACUUCUUGGGUGGCUUCAGCGCCCUUAAAAUUACUGCCCUGUUCUUCGCUUUUGUAUGGACUCGCGGUACUUUGCCACGUUAUCGUUACGACCAAUUCAUGCGCCUAGGUUGGAAAGCUUUCCUACCGCUAACCUUGGCUUUCUUCGCCUUGCAUGCUAGCGUAGCUAUCUAAUAUUAUUUUAUUCUGCUUAGACUCAUCUAUACAAUGAGUGCCUAAGCACUCAAUUGCGGUGCUCGGUGAAACCGAGCAUCCAAUACUAAAGAAACUUUACUGGCUUAGUACUGGGACCCCAUUUUUAGUAUACCUACAUUAUAUACAACGUCUAUUGGACCCGAAACCGAUCGAUCUAGCGACGUGCAGGUCUGACUUUAAUCAGGACCGAACCCGUGUCUGUUGCAAGAGACUGGGAUGACACGUGGCUAGGGGUGAAAGGCCAAUCAAGUUCGGUAAUAGCUGGUUUUCUGCGAAAUCUAUUCAGGUAAAGAGUGUGUACUAAGACCAUUAAUUAUAUAUAAUGUUUACUGUAAACUACAUUUUGGAUUUGUUCCACACUAUCAAUGCUACUGAGGUGCAGCAUACUCUAAUGCUCGCUCUAAUGCAUAAACGCCCGGCUUCUCUGCAUGAGGUACUACGACUGGCUGGUCUGCUACAGGGGUACAAGGACUUUCUGAGUCUAACUAAACAAGCCGAGGCUUUCUUCCAAGCCGGUGACUACCGUUCUGCUUUUAACACCAUUAGCAAAAUGUGGGUGCAUCCUCAGAUUGUGCCUGCCCUGCUUCUAAUGGAGUGCUUUGAGACUCGCGAGCUAACUGUGCCUUACUGGUACAAAAGUAUAAAACUACGCCGACAGUACAUCCAGAAAAAGAACGGAGGGGUCCGUCCUAUUAUUGUUGCCCACAAAGGCCUACGCAUCUGUAUGGCAGUGAUCAAUCGUCUAUUGCAAUCCUGUUGCGUUUCUUGGUCUAACCAGACUUUUGGCUUCCGUCCUGGUUUUGGUACCCAUCAUGCUGUUUUGCACCUAGCUCAAAAAGCUCAACAAAUGCUUAACAAACAACAACAAGCCGUACUUGUCACUUUCGAUUUGCAAGCCGCUUAUAAUUCCGUUGAUAUUAAGCACUUGAUGCAGACUCUACAGUUGCAAUACCUUCCCAAUGACAUGAAAAAACUCAUUUGGAUGUGGCAGCACUUGCCUCUUGCUCAGCUAAACGCCGGUAUCAAUGGACUUGCCCAAGGUUAUGCUUAUAGCCCUACACUUUUCGCUUGGUAUGUUGAUCAAUUGGUGGGCCAACACAUGGACUUUACUAUUUAUGCGGAUAAUUUUGCGGGUGUAUUCCUCACCCAACAAGAUGCGCAAUUCGCGGUCAAAGAGGCGCAAACUCUGCUACAAAAAAGCGGACUAUUGAUCGCACCAAGCUCCAUUAAGAUGCACCUGCUGGAUAAAAACCAGCACUCCGAGUUGAAUUGGCUAGGGCACAACGUAAUGUUCCCCAGUUGCACUGUAAAGCUACAACACCACCAGCUGCUAGUUAACCAACACUCCCCACAAGUAUGGACCAUUCAAAAAUGGGAUAAAAUGCUACGUACAUUGGGUUGGGUACAGCUUGCCUUGAAUGCAGAUUGGCGCCGUUUCUAGUACUAGACUACCAUUUACAAGAAUAGGAGGUGUACAUUUACCUUAACUAUUCAAGGAGUGCCUGUCGGCACCCACUUACGGUGCUCGGUUUCACCGAGCACCCAAGGUCUAGCUACGAUUUGCUAUAUUAUUAGAAAAUUAAAUAGGUCGAUAAAACUGCUUUUCUAAAGAGAGAGAGCACACACGAAUUAUACACAGUUACCCUGAUCAACGGACAAAAGCUACGCUAGGGAUAACAGGCUUAUCCGCCUUUAGAGUUCCUAUCGAUGGGCGGGUUUGGCACCUCGAUGUUGGAUCAUCGCGUCCUGUGGCUGAAGGAGGUCGCAAGGGUUGGAUUGUUCGUCCAUUAAAGCGGUACGUGAUCUGAGUUCAGACCGUCGUGAGACAGGUCGGUUUCUAUCUUUGUCAGCGAAAGGCUUGUUUUCUAGUGAGUUUGACACUCACGCCGAAACGCCUAUGCACAGUUAGCCGCUGGGGGCGAGUACGAAAGGACCAGACCCCUAUAAACCUCUGGUACACUUGUUGUCAUUUACACGGCAUAGCAAGAAAGCUAAGUUUUAAAAGGCUAGAUUGCCUACAUUCAAUAACACCGAAUGACCCCGACUUACAAAAGUUUAGGACUAAAUUUUAUGAAUUGUUUGUGAACACCCCCCAAGCACGUGCCAGAAGGGUCGGUAAAACGUGCGGUGUCAGUAUAAAGCGUCUUGACUAGGCAGGCAGCGCGUCUGAGCGUUAAUGGUGAACACUUUAAACGUUGGGUAAUAUUCGGAGGAUCGGUCAAAUGAGAAUAUUCCGGAUGGAAAGCCGAAGGCGAAAGCACCAACAUCAGAGUCACUAAAGCUUCAACGCGUAAGUUUGGGUAGCGAACCGGAUUAGAGACCCGCAGUAGUCCAAACCGUCAACACAUUAUAGUUUUCAAAUCUAUAACGCCUGGUGAUACGGUGGCAACACUAUAAAUCAAAGCAAUUGGCAGCGAUAGAGAUGCGCGGUGGAAUAUGCUGUUUAAAUCGAAUUUACACGCAAACUCUUACCACUUUUUAUUAUAUGAGUACUCGGUGUAACCGAGUACCCGAUAUUGGUGCUCGGCCAGCAGAGCUGGCCGAGCAUCAUAUGAGUACAAUUGUACACGAUAGAGGUGCUCGGUGAAACCUAGUAUCAUAUUACAAAGACACGUAGCUUAGUGGUAAAGCACUGGUCUCAUAAGCCAGCUAUCGCAAGUUCGAAUCUCGCCGUGUCUAUUACAUUUUUAUACUAUACCGGUAGCGCAAGCGAAUGGUAAUGGAUCUAAUACAACACAUUCAGACAAUCGGCGGUAAGGUCAAUUGUCAAGAGGAGAACAGUCCAGAGGCGAGGCUAAGGUGCCUAACAAUUAUUAUAUACAAAUAGCUCUUGCAUUGCUGAAAAGUUCGAGCGGGACCUCGCCCUUAGUGCCGGUCUUUGCCACGUUUUCUGAACGGUCGAGCAAGUCAUCAUGGGGCUUAUAGAGUGGGCUACAGGCGUAUUACAUUGGACACCCACAAGUUGGAUACCAAAACUGUCCGAAUAUACGGAUUGGAGUAGCAAAACGAGAGAACUAUACAGUUCGUUUGCAUCGUUAUGCCUUGCUGAAACUGCCUCCAUGAAGAAGGAAUCGCGAGUAAUCGUAGAUCAUUAGCGCUACGGUGAAGGUAACCUCUAUUGUGCACACAUUGCCCGUCACCUCCGAUAAUAGUAUUGUACAGGAAGAACUAUGGCUACACUUAAGUCGCGGCCUAGGAACGUAUGCGUGAUAUUAGAGUUGGAGUAAGUCGUAACAGGUUGGGGUAGGGGAACCUGCUCCAGAGUCAAAUUUAUAUAAAAGGGAUUGCUGACUGAUAGUGCAAACAGUACUGUGAAGGAACUAAUGAAACUGGGCUAAAACACAAUAAACACUAAGUGCGCAUUCCACCUAUACGUGAGCAUUAGCGCAUUACCAUUCUCCAGAGGAUUUAAAUGCACAAACCUAUUUAUGCCUUUUGGCAUAUGAUUACACUUCGUUAUAUAUCACCCGUUCAACAUUUUUACAAACAGCUAUAAUUUAGCGUACCUUUUGCAUUAUGGGUUAGCUACUCAAUAGACGUGAGUUAAGCAGAAAGCUUACUGAGAUUUUUUUAUAACGAGAGGGGCCAUCACAGAGAUGCCCUCUCUGGGUUCCUUUAAAUGUUACUAGGACCCCAACGCGUGCAACAACACACUAAAGGGGUGGGCUGCCUAAAAAAGCCCGAGAGCUGCUGGUUUAACCCACACUCUCACAAGCCCCACAUCGGUAUUUUUAGGCUAAAAUCUAUCAGCCCUUGUACGUAACGAUUGCGACUACGCAUGCCUAAGUGCGCAAACAGUAUCGGUUUGGUUGAUCUGCAUCCUACCAGCCGUCUUCGGCGACUCGCACGAUCCUAUAUUAUAUAUAAUACUCAUCUCAUUUGAACUUUACUGGAGGUGCCUAAAAGCACCCACAGAGAUGAUCGGCACUGCCGAUCAUACUGGAAUUCCACAGAAUUUACGCAAAGCUCAGAACACGAGCACAGCAGCAAACGCCACAAACACACUUUUUACACUUACGGUACGCGGUUCCGGUUGAUGAUCCAUAAGGGCUUCUCAGGCUACCCAACGGGCACAUGUUCUCCUCACCCGGAUUGAACACCCAGGGGACACCGAGCACCCAAACGAUUACAUGUACAACGCACACUUCACCACAGGGCAUUAGCAGCCCUCUGCCAUAUUAGGUGACCCCGCUCAGGAUUGGCAGAAAAGGACCUUCCACACCGCACGAUAGAACUCACCAAGCUCGGCCAGCUCUGCUGGCCGAGCAUCGUCGAGAUCGAACCGCGGUGGGGGCCCACUACUCCACGCGUGCUUCGCAAGCCGCCAAAGUAACCUGGGCAAGACUAGCUACACGGGGAGAGUUUGCGACUUCACCUAAAACACACAAAAACACACCGGCACCUUAAGCACUUUUUCGAACUUAUAGGACCCCCGCCCAAACACCUAUAGGAUCGUGCGAGUCGCCGAAGACGGCUGGUAGGAUGCAGAUCAACCAAACCGAUACUGUUUGCGCACUUAGGCAUGCGUAGU
rnacentral:tRNA from 1 species